GGAUCAACCUGCCCGACCGGCAGCCACAAAAGCAGGUCGCGUGACUCCACACAGCUUGACAUCGGGCGCUCACGGCGGUAACGCGGGUUCGAAUCCCGCUGGGGUCACCA
rnacentral:tRNA from 1 species